rnacentral:rRNA from 1 species
UACGGAGGGGGCAAGCGUUGUUCGGAAUUACUGGGCGUAAAGGGCGCGUAGGCGGGAUGUCAAGUUAGGGGUGAAAGGCCUGGGCUCAACCUAGGAACUGCCUCUAAAACUGGCAAUCUAGAGUCCGGGAGAGGAUAGCGGAAUUCCCAGUGUAGAGGUGAAAUUCGUAGAUAUUGGGAAGAACACCAGUGGCGAAGGCGGCUAUCUGGUCCGGCACUGACGCUGAGGCGCGAAAGCGUGGGGAGCAAACAGG